rnacentral:rRNA from 1 species
ACGGUGACCUCGGAUCA